GGGGAUGUGCGAGAGCGGUUCAUUCGGGUGUAACAAACAUCAUACAGAUUUCAUUCUGUAUUCGGGGGUUCAAAUCCCUCUUUCUCCU
rnacentral:tRNA from 1 species